GUGGGGAAUAUUGGGCAAUGGGCGAAAGCCUGACCCAGCGACACCGCGUGGGUGAUGAAAGCCUUCGGGUUGUAAAGCCCUUUCGUGCGGAAAGAACUGUUCCGCGGUUAAUACCCGCGGAAUUUGACGGUACCGCAGGAAGAAGCACCGGCUAACUCCGUGCCAGCAGCCGCGGUAAUACGGAGGGUGCGAGCGUUGUUCGGAAUUAUUGGGCGUAAAGGGCGCGUAGGCGGUUGUGUAAGUCAGAUGUGAAAUACUCCGGCUUAACCGGGGAACUGCGUUUGAAACUACACAGCUAGAGUACAGGAGAGGGAAAUGGAAUUCCCGGUGUAGAGGUGAAAUUCGUAGAUAUCGGGAGGAACACCAGUGGCGAAGGCGAUUUUCUGGCCUGAUACUGACGCUGAGGCGCGAAAGCGUGGGGAGCAAACAGGAUUAGAAACCCCAGUAGUCC
rnacentral:rRNA from 1 species